UACGUAGGGGGCUAGCGUUGUCCGGAAUCAUUGGGCGUAAAGCGCGCGUAGGCGGCCAGAUAAGUCCGGUGUGAAAGUCACAGGCUCAACCUGUGAAUGCCGCUGGAAACUGUCUGGCUAGAGUCCGGAAGGGGCGAGUGGAAUUCCUGGUGUAGCGGUGAAAUGCGCAGAUAUCAGGAAGAACACCCGUGGCGAAGGCGGUUCUCUGGGACGGUACUGACGCUGAGACGCGAAAGCGUGGGGAGCGAACAGG
rnacentral:rRNA from 1 species